GGAAAAAAAUAAAGUCUUGUGCACUUCAACGUGACUGUUAUUUUGAAGAUGGCUCCAAAUUUAUCCCCGCUCGUAAGACGAUUACCUACAUGUCAUGCGGAGCAAAAUAUAUCUUUCUCAUAUAUAUUAGGAAAGUAAUUACAAUCAUAAGGGUAAAUAUUUUCGAGCGCUAUGCAAACAGAGGAGAGGUUUGGAAAUCCUCUUUUCUGUUGGCAUUCAGGGCAGCGCUUUGACAACAAGAAAUGCCCCGCGCCUCGGCCGGGUACCUGGGCUGUUAUCUGAGUACCGGGCUGUUAUGUGAGUGAGUGCCCCCACACUCACAUGGGGGAAAAAAAUAAGAAUUGAAAGAAAAAAAGAAGAGGAAAAACACGCUGUCCCUUCCCCAAACGUGUGAAAUUCAUUGUGAAUCGUGGUGAAAAUCGUGGUGCGCUAUUUCCGAUACGGCAGAAUGUUCCUUAUCAGAAGUAUUACCAUUUUUUGAAAGGGGAAAAAAAUAAUGGCAGGAGACGCAUCGUUCACAGCCCCCACUGCAAUGCAUGGUACCUCUGUAGGAGCCGUGGGGCGGGUGGGGAAGCGCCAGCGCUCCCAAAGCAAAGGAAACUGCCGCCCAGGACAGACAGGUAGCUGUGCUGAGCACAGAAAUACAGCACAGGGACAACUCAGCAACCGGGUCUCUGUUAAUUAAAAGCUGAACCUUGUUCCGAAGCGAUAGAAGGGAGAAGGGGGUGGAAAGGAAGGAAAAAAACAAUCUCGAGGGCCUGCAGGGCAGUGGCUGCUCAGUUUAAAAGACCAAACGCCCUUUCCCAGCGUGAUGUACAGAAGCUGACGCUGAAGUGGCAAGGGAGAGAGCCGGCAGGGCUGGUGCCGAGCUGCUGCAGUUCCCUCUCCCGGGGGAAGGCUCGCUCCGGGUUUUUGGGUGAUCCCGACCAGGCUUUGCAGCUCGCCAGCCUGACCUGUCAAGCGGAUUAUUUUAGAGGGAGAUUAAUAGGGGAGGCGGGCUGCAAUAAUAAUCGUUUUGUUUGAUGUGACAACUUUGAUAGGCGUUGAUUUACUUACAAACUGAUAGGCUUUUAAUUGAGCGCCUCCAUCCAGCUUGAGAUGAAAGGAAAACCGCAUUGAAAAGCUGCCCGAGUGCCCUCGAGCCUCAAUACUGAUUAGCCAUCUCGACAGUGAAUAGUUCAAGGCAUUUUCAAACUUUUUUUCCUCUCUCGGUCUCGCUCUCCUCUCCUCCUCAAAUAUCUGCCAGCCCACUCCUUUUUAAGAGAAAAUAAAUCAUUUCCAUUGUGUGCAAAUAAAAUCGACUUGACAUGCUUGCCAAUAGCUGAAGAAUAAAAGCUACAGCCACCCAAACUUCAACAAGACUACACAAGUAAGCACCCAACAGCAACCCGGCUGCGCGGAUUCAUUAAACGAGGAUCCCUCGCAAGAGUUUUACUGCACUCCAUUUAUCAAUUGGACUUGACAACAAAAGAAUGAACGGGGGGAAAACCUGGGGCAGAUUCAAGUCACUUCCACUCUGUAUGAAGGAAGGGGGAGUUCCUUACGGGCACGGUGCGGGUUGUCAGUCCCGCUGCAGCGGCGGCAGCUUUUGUGCGAUGCUUCUCCCUCUGCCCCCCGAUCCUUUCACUGUCACGGCCUCGGAAGAACACAGCGGGCACGGCGACACGGAAGCCCGGCUCUGCCCUGCACCGACACGUUCCGGCGACACGUUCCGCGCUUCCAGAGAACACACAGAAAUUAAAAAAGUUUGUUAAAAUCGUCUUUCUAGGAGGCGAGGGCACUUCCGCGUAUCGCCCCGUUCUAUCCAACGUGCCAAAGAGCGCGGCGGUUCAAUAAAAGCCACCCGAGAUACCGACCCGGCUGCGGGACCGACGGAGCACCGCUCUGGGGGCGGGGAGGGCGUCGGAGAAAGGCGGCCCGUGGGGAGAGGGCCGCUGGGGGCCGCCCGGCGCGGGGUCCGGGGGUGGCGGUGCGGGGAAGGAGAAGGUGAAGGCGAAGGACGGGGUUCGGCGGGGCCGAGAGCGAGCGGGGAAAGUCCUUCCCCACGCCCACCCCUCCCCGAGCGGCGCCUGUUCUGGUCGGAGUCCAGGUCAGGAAUUGGCCGCGACCCCUGAAGCACUUGCCUUGUUCUUCACUUGUCAAACGUGUUUUAUCUCUAAGUGACCUUUUUGUUAAUGUUGUAGAUUGUGUGGGCCACCAUGUCAGAUCCGGAAACAAAAGUAAAAGAUUGAUUAACACGUUUUGCCUGUGGAAAAAAAAAAAAAUUGUUACGGGAUGAGGAGGUGGGGAAGAGCGGGACGGGAAGUACAAAGGGGAGAGCGGCGGGCGGCGCGGGGAGCGGCAGAAGGGCCGCGGGCAGCGCUCACGCUGCUCCCCCGG
ensembl:lncRNA